rnacentral:rRNA from 1 species
CCUACGGGAGGCAGCAGUGGGGAAUAUUGCACAAUGGGGGAAACCCUGAUGCAGCGACGCCGCGUGAGUGAAGAAGUCAUUCGUUAUGUAAAGCUCUAUCAGCAGGGAAGAAAAUGACGGUACCUGAGUACGAAGCCCCGGCUAACUACGUGCCAGCAGCCGCGGUCAUACGUAGGGGGCACGCGUUAUCCGGAUUUACUGGGGGUAAAGGGAGCGUAGACGGCAGUGCAAGUCAGGAGUGAAAGCCGGGGGCUCAACCCCCGGACUGCUCUGGAAACUGGACGGCUGGAGUGCAGAAGAGGUAAGUGGAAUUCCUGGUGUAGCGGUGAAAUGCGUAGAUAUUAGGAGGAACACCAGUGGCGAAGGCGGCUUACUGGACUGUAACUGACGUUGAGGCUCGAAAGCGUGGGGAGCAAACAGGAUUAGAUACCCCUGUAGUC